rnacentral:rRNA from 1 species
AUUGAACGCUGGCGGGAGGCCUAACACAUGCAAGUCGAACGAGUGGCGGACGGGGGAGAAAUGUCUGGGAAACUGCCCGAUGGAGGGGGGUAACUACUGGAAAAGGUAGCGAAAAUCGCAUACACUCUGAUGUGGCAAGAUGGGAAUAGCUUGUAGGGGAGGUAAAGAGUCACCUCGGCGACGAGCCCUAGCUGGGCGGAGAGGAUGACCAGCCAAACGGGAACUGAGACACGGUCCAGACUCCUACGGGAGGCAGCAGUGGGGAAUAUUGGACAAUGGGCGCAAGCCUGAUACAGCCAUGCCGCGUGUAUGAAGAAGGCCUUCGGGUUGUAAAGUACUUUCAGCAGUGAGGCGUUAUCCGCAGAAGAAGCACCGGCUAACUCCGUGCCAGCAGCCGCGGUAAUAC